rnacentral:rRNA from 1 species
GACGAACGCUGCGGCGUGCUUAACACAUGCAAGUCGAACGGUGAAGCUCCAGCUUGCUGGAGUGGAUCAGUGGCGAACGGGUGAGUAACACGUGAGCAACCUGCCCCUGACUCUGGAAUAAGCGCUGGAAACGGCGUCUAAUACUGGAUACGAGAAGGGUCCGCAUGGGCACUUUCUGGAAAGUUUUUCGGUUGGGGAUGGGCUCGCGGCCUAUCAGCUUGUUGGUGAGGUAAUGGCUCACCAAGGCGACGACGGGUAGCCGGCCUGAGAGGGCGACCGGCCACACUGGGACUGAGACACGGCCCAGACUCCUACGGGAGGCAGCAGUGGGGAAUAUUGCACAAUGGGCGAAAGCCUGAUGCAGCGACGCCGCGUGAGGGAUGACGGCCUUCGGGUUGUAAACCUCUUUCAGCAGGGAAGAAGCGAAAGUGACGGUACCUGCAGAAGAAGCACCGGCUAACUACGUG